rnacentral:rRNA from 1 species
GCAAGUCGAACGAGAAAGUACUUCGGUACGAGUAGAGUGGCGCACGGGUGAGUAACACGUAGGUGACCUACCUUUCAGCGGGGGACAACUCGGGGAAACUCGAGCUAAUACCGCAUACGUAAUUAUUUUUGAAUGAAUAAUUAGAAAGGGUGCUUCGGCAUCCACUGAAAGAUGGGCCUGCGUUGCAUUAGCUUGAUGGUGGGGUAAAGGCCUACCAUGGCUACGAUGCAUAGCUGGUCUGAGAGGAUGAUC